rnacentral:rRNA from 1 species
CGGAGGGUGCAAGCGUUAUCCGGAUUCACUGGGUUUAAAGGGUGCGUAGGCGGGCAGGUAAGUCAGUGGUGAAAUCCUAGAGCUUAACUCUAGAACUGCCAUUGAUACUAUCUGUCUUGAAUAUUGUGGAGGUAAGCGGAAUAUGUCAUGUAGCGGUGAAAUGCUUAGAUAUGACAUAGAACACCUAUUGCGAAGGCAGCUUACUACGCAUAUAUUGACGCUGAGGCACGAAAGCGUGGGGAUCAAACGGGAUUAGAUACCCUGGUAGUCCACGCCCUAAACGAUGAUUACUCGACAUUAGCGAUACACAGUUAGUGUCUGAGCGAAAGCAUUAAGUAAUCCACCUGGGAAUACGACCGCAAGGUUG